UUUACAACAAAGGUAAAAUGUAAAUACAAACAUAACCAAACCAAUACUUUUAUAAGUUUAAAAAAUAGUCAGCAAAAGUCGAGUUUUUAACUAAAAUGGAAAGUAUUAGCCCCGCAAUCCAUAUAAACACUGAAAAACAACUUAAAGAACUUUCACCUGAAGAAUUUCAGCAAAUGUUGAGCGCCUGGUUUAACGAAAAAGGCGUCCUCAGGGAUAUGAAGUCCUAUCUAAAGUAUCAGAUGAUAAAUGUUUUAAAACAUACUGCUUUAGGAAAACAUAUAAAUAGUACUGCCUACCAAGCUCACACCCUAGCUCAACAAGCUUUGCACUUAAUAGUAGCUGAAUAUUUAUUACAACAAGAAUGCCAUUUUUCUCUCUCUCUAUUUAGCACAGAAGUAAAUCUAUCUUCUAUAUUGCCUGAUAUUAAGCUCUUUUUUGACAGUGAAAAUGAAAGCAAAGUAGCUUUGAAAAAAUUCCAUAAGCAAAAUUUGGUAAAUAUUUUAGAACUUUUAGGAAUUAGCAAGGAAAAUCCUUAUUACAAAAUAAUUAUUAACGAAUACUUUAGCAAAACUUCAGUUUCAAUAUUAGGAUGUUUGUUGAGUGUUAUUGGGAACAAUAUAAAAAAGCAAACCAAAGAACAAGACCUCAAAAUUAAUAUAGAAUACGAAGAUGACUUUAUGAAAAAUGUGUACUUCGUAUUACAGUCAUCCAUUUUGCCCUCAGAUAUCCAAAAUCAACUUCUUCAUAACAUAAAACUUUGUUACGACUUAAAGACAAAAUUUUAUGAAAGUCAAGUACUCCAGCUGGUCAAUAAGUUUAGAAAAGAAUUGAACUUACAUGAACAGAAACUGCAGCACGCGAAGAGACGCAAAAUGCAUUUAGAGAAAAAAGUAGCAAGACUGGAAAAAGAAAACCAAAUAUUAAAAAAUAAAUUUGAAAAUGCGUCUAAAGAGAUGGGUCCUAUGCAUACUGAAAGAGAAAGGUUAAUUGAACAAGUCGUAACAUUUCCAUGUGCUUUGGAUCACUGUGACAUCAAUUGUCAAACUGCUAAGGCCGAUUGUGACUUAUAUAAAAAAGAAGUUGAAAAAUUGAAAGAUAUAAACCAGCAACAAAAGGACGAAAUCGAAAGGUUGAAACUAAGCUACAAUGAAUUGUUAAAAGAAUUUAAUAACUGUCAAACCAAAAUAAAUUUGGUAAAUCUUAGGCUGCAAGAGGAAAUAGAUCGUGAAGUACAAAAAGGUACCCCCGUAGAAAAUAGUCGCAGAGAUUUAGGUCUGGUGAUCUGGCCGGCCACUCUAUUGGCCUUCUUCGUCCGAUCCAUCUUCCUGGGAACACUGUCUGGUCUUGUUCAUCUGGAUAUAGGGCAGCCAAAGCAGGGAUAAGAUCUUCUUCAAUAAAGAAGAAAAUUCAAAUAGCGUUGUCCUGUAAAGUUUUCUUCGAAAAAAUCCUUAUCAAAAAUCAAAAUCGAGUUCAAGUUCCAGAUCUCAAUCUAUAACCGAAGAAAUUUUACACGAAGCUAGGCAAAAACUUCGACUGUUAGAAGAAGAGAGCGAGGAGUUAGAUAUAAGGUUUCAAAAAUUCUGCAUUGCAUAGCAUUUAAAUAAAAACAUUUAAAAAAAUGUUACUUAAAACAAAUAUUCUUUACAUCUUGUAGCUGAAUAUAUAGUUGUUUGUAAACUA
rnacentral:misc_RNA from 1 species